rnacentral:misc_RNA from 1 species
GUGCAUAUAAGGGCUUUGGUUUUGCCUUUGAAGUUCAGAGGUCUCUGCCUGAUCAUGUCAUGGGCGAUGAAAGAAGGGUUUUUCAGGUGCUUUUGCAUAUGGUGGGGAGCCUAUUAAAUGACAUCAACCAAGGAGGAGGAUAUGCUUUGUUUCGGGUUGUAGCCGAGAGUGGAAGUCAGGGAAGGAAUGACCAAAGAUGGGGUAAUUGGAGACAAAGCUCUUCUGAUGGCGAUGCAUUUAUCAGAUUUGAGGUUGGGAUAAAUAAAAGUAAUUCUCAAUCAGAGGGCUCCAUUCCAAAUAUAGUAACCAGUGAUCGGAGAUACGCCAGUGACGGAGCUGAGGAACGCUUGAGCUUUACCAUCUGCAAGAAGCUUGUUAAGUUGAUGCAAGGGAAUAUAUGGGUAAUCCCUAAUCCUCAAGGAUUUACACGAAGCAUGGCACUUGUUCUUCGUUUUCA